AUAUGUCUAUUACCUCUGUCAAAAACAAAAGGCGCAAUGAUUUUCGAACGAGCACUCUCAGGCCGUUACAUACUUUAUUCUGAGUGGACGACGAACUUCUUUGUGAGCAGCAGUAGUUAAUUACUCACAAAUUUUGUGAGAUAAUAUUGAUAAUUUUGUUAGUAAUUAUGAACAAUGUUUUUCUUAGUGGACUUAAUGACUAUCCUCACGUCGUCGGCUAGUCAUUAGCUUCGUUAUCUUGGCUGACCCUCGAGCUGACCUGCCUGAUCGGACUGGGCCGCGAGGGCCAGCAGCAGCAGCGUCAGCAGCAGCGGCGCGCCGGCCGGCAGCGGCAUGGCGCGGGCCUCACUCCGGGGGGACGGCCUCCACCACGAGGAUGCACCUCGCCGACCACGACAUGUUCAUCAGGAUCAGGAGCACGCACUUGGACUCGACUAGUGCGGGACGGUGUAGAAACACCGUCGGGCGAAAAGGUCCCAAGGU